UACGUAGGGUGCAAGCGUUAAUCGGAAUUACUGGGCGUAAAGCGUGCGCAGGCGGUUUUGUAAGUCUGUCGUGAAAUCCCCGGGCUCAACCUGGGAAUUGCGAUGGAGACUGCAAGGCUAGAAUCUGGCAGAGGGGGGUAGAAUUCCACGUGUAGCAGUGAAAUGCGUAGAGUAUCGGUGAGGAACACCAUGGCGAAGGGCAGCCCUGGCAGGACUUUGACGA
rnacentral:rRNA from 1 species